ACGCUCGACACCUACGGAAGGCAGCAGUGGGGAAUAUUGCACAAUGGGGGAAACCCUGAUGCAGCGACGCCGCGUGAGCGAAGAAGUAUUUCGGUAUGUAAAGCUCUAUCAGCAGGGAAGAUAAUGACGGUACCUGACUAAGAAGCUCCGGCUAAAUACGCGCCAGCAGCCGCGGUAAUCUGAGCGGGCUGGCAAGGC
rnacentral:rRNA from 1 species